GGGGCUGACAUGGUAUUGACAGCAGAUGAGGUGAUUGUGUAAGCAUGCCGGGCUAGGUGGAUUAACCCGUAAAACUGAUCCGCGACCAAACAACUGGCGCAGAUAACUUUGCUCUUGCAGCUUAAUUUUACGACAGUAAAAUGAGCCUAAUUCCGACACAAGGUGUUGGAGCGGGACAUCUCCCGGAUGGACAGACCCGGUUCCGGUCCGAUCAGGAGGUGGCAGCAAUUCCGGGGUGGUUGUGGUAAGCUUCGUUACCACAGCGAGAAACAGAAGAUACGGAGUUGUUUUGGAUGCCUGUUUUCGCGACAAUUCCCGACAAUCAAUAACAGGAUAAGCAUGUAGAAAGCCCUUUUGUCUCCUGUUUGGACGCGGGUUCGAUCCCCGCCAGCUCCACAA
rnacentral:tmRNA from 1 species